rnacentral:rRNA from 1 species
AGCAGCCGCGGUAAUUCCAGCUCCAAUAGCGUAUAUUAAAGUUGUUGCAGUUAAAAAGCUCGUAGUUGAAUUUCGGGAUUGACGUGAUGGUCAUGCCUUAAGGGGUAUGGACUGUUGCUGUUGAUUUCUCACCUUCUGGAGAAACUUGAUGUCCUUUAUUGGGUGUCUUGCGGAUCCAGGACCUUUACCUUGAAAAAAUUAGAGUGUUUAAAGCAGGCAUUUUUGCUCGAAUACAUUAGCAUGGAAUAAUAGAAUAGGACGGCAUGGUUCUAUUUUGUUGGUUUCUAGGAUCACCGUGAUGAUUAAUAGGGAUAGUUGGGGGCAUUAGUAUUCAAUUGUCAGAGGUGAAAUUCCUGGAUUUAUUGAAGACUAACUACUGCGAAAGCAUUUGCCAAGGAUGUUUUCAUUAAUCAAGAACGAAAGUUAGGGGAUCGAAGACGAUCAGAUACC